UCUGACCUGAAAAUAACAUACAUGUAGACA
rnacentral:piRNA from 1 species